CCUACGGGUGGCUGCAGUGGGGAAUAUUGGACAAUGGGCGAAAGCCUGAUCCAGCCAUGCCGCGUGUGUGAAGAAGGCCUUCGGGUUGUAAAGCACUUUCAGUGGGGAAGAAAGCCUUGGGGCUAAUACCCUCGAGGAAGGACAUCACCCACAGAAGAAGCACCGGCUAACUCCGUGCCAGCAGCCGCGGUAAUACGGAGGGUGCGAGCGUUAAUCGGAAUUACUGGGCGUAAAGCGCGCGUAGGCGGUCUGAUAAGCCGGUUGUGAAAGCCCCGGGCUCAACCUGGGAACGGCAUCCGGAACUGUCAGGCUAGAGUGCAGGAGAGGAAGGUAGAAUUCCCGGUGUAGUGGUGAAAUGCGUAGAGAUCGGGAGGAAUACCAGUGGCGAAGGCGGCCUUCUGGACUGACACUGACGCUGAGGUGCGAAAGCGUGGGUAGCAAACAGGAUUAGAUACCCCUGUAGUC
rnacentral:rRNA from 1 species